CUAUUACAGAGGGAAGCGAAACCGCGAGGUGGNGCAAAACCCAAAAAAGUAAGUCUCAGUUCGGAUUGAAGGCUGAAAUUCGCCUUCAUGAAGCCGGAAUUGCUAGUAAUGGCAGGUCAGCAUACUGCCGUGAAUACGUUCCCGGGCCUUGUACACACCGCCCGUCACACCAUGGGAGUCGGUAACACCCGAAGCCGAUAGUCUAACCGCAAGGAGGACGUCGUCGAAGGUGGGAUUGAUGACUGGGGUGAAGUCGUAACAAGGUACC
rnacentral:rRNA from 1 species